GCCCAGUGUGGUGGCGCGUGCCUGUAGUCCCAGCUACUCGGGAGGCCGAGGCUGGAGGAUUGCUUGAGCCCAGGAGUUCUGGGCCGUAGUGUGCUAUGCUGAUCAGGUGUUCGCACAAAGUUUGGCAUCAAUAUGGUGACCUCCCACGAGCAGGGGACCACCAGGUUACCUAAGGAGGGGUGAACCAGCCCAGGCUGGAAAUGGAGCAGGUCAAAACUGCGCUGAUCAGUAGUGGGAUCGUGCCUGUGAAUAGCCACUACACUCUAGUCUGGGCAACAUAGUGAGACCCUGCCUCAA
ensembl:misc_RNA Metazoa_SRP Metazoan signal recognition particle RNA